UUUUGUUGCACAAGUUGCUGAUGUUGUUGGGGCAGAACUGCGCCCAUGAAUGAAAAGCAGAGAUUUGAAGCUGAAAAAACUGUGAUCGGUGAAUUUAGUAAGACUAAACAUGUGAGAGGCAUUCUUUUAAUGGGGAGGUUGAUCUCCUUUAUCUCAAGAUAAUGGCCAAAGCAUCCACGAAUAUUUUGCUGGAAGAAUUCUAAGAAUACAUUUGUUUGUUCAAAUUCAUCCAUUGCUAGUAAUGCAAUGUAUAACCAUCUAUAUGCAUUGAUGAAAUCAUAAAGCACUGCUCUUCGGAUAUAUUUUAAUGUUGGGAGUUAUCCUUCAAGAUCAAGGCGUUGUUGAGCUUUUGGAGUUCUUUCUUGAGAGCACAUAGUAAAGAGGAAAGAAAGGGUGGAAGGUAUGACUGACAUAUGACUCAUAUGAAAAUAUAAAGAUAAGACAUUACAGACAUUACUUUAGGCGGCAAGAGAGGGAAAAAAACAUAUUGUGUUACUUGGGUGUUUGCUUUGUAAUUUUCAAUGUUUGUAGUGCUCUAUUUGUAACUUGUCUGAUCUGUACUCAAUUAUUUUUGUUAUAUGGGAGCUGA